rnacentral:rRNA from 1 species
UGAGACACGGUCCAGACUCCUACGGGAGGCAGCAGUGGGGAAUAUUGCACAAUGGGCGCAAGCCUGAUGCAGCCAUGCCGCGUGUGUGAAGAAGGCCUUCGGGUUGUAAAGCACUUUCAGUCGUGAGGAAGGUGGUGUAGUUAAUAGCUGCAUUAUUUGACGUUAGCGACAGAAGAAGCACCGGCUAACUCCGUGCCAGCAGCCGCGGUAAUACGGAGGGUGCGAGCGUUAAUCGGAAUUACUGGGCGUAAAGCGCAUGCAGGUGGUUUGUUAAGUCAGAUGUGAAAGCCCGGGGCUCAACCUCGGAAUAGCAUUUGAAACUGGCAGACUAGAGUACUGUAGAGGGGGGUAGAAUUUCAGGUGUAGCGGUGAAAUGCGUAGAGAUCUGAAGGAAUACCGGUGGCGAAGGCGGCCCCCUGGACAGAUACUGACACUCAGAUGCGAAAGCGUGGGGAGCAAACAGGAUUAGAUACCCUGGUAGUCCACGCCGUAAACGAUGUCUACUUGGAGGUUGUGGCCUUGAGCCGUGGCUUUCGGAGCUAACGCGUUAAGUAGACCGCCUGGGGAGUACGGUCGCAAGAUUAAAACUCAAAUGAAUUGACGGGGGCCCGCACAAGCGGUGGAGCAUGUGGUUUAAUUCGAUGCAACGCGAAGAACCUUACCUACUCUUGACAUCCAGAGAACUUUCCAGAGAUGGAUUGGUGCCUUCGGGAACUCUGAGACAGGUGCUGCAUGGCUGUCGUCAGCUCGUGUUGUGAAAUGUUGGGUUAAGUCCCGCAACGAGCGCAACCCUUAUCCUUGUUUGCCAGCGAGUAAUGUCGGGAACUCCAGGGAGACUGCCGGUGAUAAACCGGAGGAAGGUGGGGACGACGUCAAGUCAUCAUGGCCCUUACGAGUAGGGCUACACACGUGCUACAAUGGCGCAUACAGAGGGCGGCCAACUUGCGAAAGUGAGCGAAUCCCAAAAAGUGCGUCGUAGUCCGGAUUGGAGUCUGCAACUCGACUCCAUGAAGUCGGAAUCGCUAGUAAUCGUGGAUCAGAAUGCCACGGUGAAUACGUUCCCGGGCCUUGUACACACCGCCCGUCACACCAUGGGAGUGGGCUGCAAAAGAAGUAG